AUGAGUCGUCGAUUAGCUAGUAGGUGGGUAAGAGGCACCUAGGCGACGAUCAGUAGCGGUCUGAGAGGAUGAUCAGCCACUGGGAUGAGACACGGCCCAGACUCCUACGGGAGGCAGCAGUGGGAAUUUUCCGCAAUGGGCGAAAGCCUGACGGAGCAAUACCGCGUGAGGGAGGAAGGCUCUUGGGUGUAAACCUCUUUUCUCAGGGAAGAACACAAUGACGGUACCUGAGGAAUAAGCAUCGGCUAACUCCGUGCCAGCAGCCGCGGUAAUACGGAGGAUGCAAGCGUUAUCCGGAAUGAUUGGGCGUAAAGCGUCCGCAGGUGGCUGUGUAAGUCUGCUGUUAAAGAGUGAGGCUCAACCUCAUAAGAGCAGUGGAAACUACACGGCUAGAGUGCGUUCGGGGCAGAGGGAAUUCCUGGUGUAGCGGUGAAAUGCGUAGAGAUCAGGAAGAACACCGGUGGCGAAAGCGCUCUGCUAGGCCGCAACUGACACUGAGGGACGAAAGCUAGGGGAGCGAAUGGGAUUAGAUACCCCAGUAGUCCUAGCCGUAAACGAUGGAUACUAGGCGUGGCUUGUAUCGACCCGAGCCGUGCCGUAGCUAACGCGUUAAGUAUCCCGCCUGGGGAGUACGCACGCAAGUGUGAAACUCAAAGGAAUUGACGGGGGCCCGCACAAGCGGUGGAGUAUGUGGUUUAAUUCGAUGCAACGCGAAGAACCUUACCAAGACUUGACAUGUCGCGAAUCCUCUUGAAAGGGAGGAGUGCCUUCGGGAGCGCGAACACAGGUGGUGCAUGGCUGUCGUCAGCUCGUGUCGUGAGAUGUUGGGUUAAGUCCCGCAACGAGCGCAACCCUCGUUUUUAGUUGCCAGCAUUAAGUUGGGCACUCUAGAGAGACUGCCGGUGACAAACCGGAGGAAGGUGGGGAUGACGUCAAGUCAGCAUGCCCCUUACGUCUUGGCUACACACGUACUACAAUGCUACGGACAGAGGGCAGCAAGACAGCGAUGUCAAGCAAAUCCCGUAAACCGUGGCUCAGUUCAGAUCGCAGGCUGCAACUCGCCUGCGUGAAGGAGGAAUCGCUAGUAAUUGCAGGUCAGCAUACUGCAGUGAAUUCGUUCCCGGGCCUUGUACACACCGCCCGUCACACAUGGAAGCUGGUCACGCCCGAAGUCAUUACCCCAACUUUUCGGAGAGGGGGAUGCCUAAGGCAGGACUGGUGACUGGGG
rnacentral:rRNA from 1 species